rnacentral:misc_RNA from 1 species
GAUGAAGAACGUAGCGAAAUGCGAUAAGUAAUGUGAAUUGCAGAAUUCAGUGAAUCAUCGAAUCUUUGAACGCACAUUGCGCCCGGCAGCAAUCUGCCGGGCAUGCCUGUCCGAGCGUCAUUUCUCCCCUCGAGCGCGGUUGGCCCCUAGCGGGCCGGCCGCCGCCCGGUGUUGGGGCACUGCGGGCCACAGCGCCCGCAGGCCCUUAAAUGAAGUGGCGGUCCCGCCGCGGCGCCCCCUGCGUAGUAGUAAAGCACCUCGCAUCGGGUCCCGGCGAAGACCAGCCGUCGAACCUAUCUCUUGAUGGUUUGACCUCGGAUCAGGUAGGGAUACCCGCUGAACUUAAGCAUAUCAAUAAGCGGAGGA